GUCGGUGGCCACUCCCCUCUGAAUGUGCCUGAUCUCAACUGAGCUCAGAAGCUAAGCAGGGUCGUUGGGUCUGGUUAGUCCCCUACA
ensembl:rRNA 5S_rRNA 5S ribosomal RNA